CGGGGGGAGCAAGCGUUGUUCGGAUUUACUGGGCGUAAAGGGCGCGUAGGCGGCCAGCGCAAGUCAGUUGUGAAAUCUCCGGGCUUAACUCGGAAAGGUCAACUGAUACUGCGCGGCUAGAGUGCGGAAGGGGCAACUGGAAUUCUCGGUGUAGCGGUGAAAUGCGUAGAUAUCGAGAGGAACACCUGCGGCGAAGGCGGGUUGCUGGGCCGACACUGACGCUGAUGCGCGAAAGCCAGGGGAGCGAACGGGAUUAGAUACCCCGGUAGUCCUGGCCUUAAACGAUGGAUGCUUGGUGUCUGGAGUUUUAUAGUCUCCGGGUGCCGCAGCUAACGCGUUAAGCAUCCCGCCUGGGGAGUACGGUCGCAAGACUG
rnacentral:rRNA from 1 species